rnacentral:rRNA from 1 species
AUGCUAUUUGUACCAGUCACCGGUUUAUGGAUGAGUGCUAUUGGCGUAGUUGGCUCGGCUCUGAACUUAUUUGCCUAUGACUUUGUUUCCCAGGAAAUCCGUGCAGUGGAAGAUUCUGAAUUUGAGACUUUCUACACCAAAAAUAUUCUUUUAAACGAGGGUAUUCGUGCGUGGAUGGCUGCUUAG